GACGAACGCUGGCGGCGUGCUUAACACAUGCAAGUCGAACGAUGAAGCCCAGCUUGCUGGGUGGAUUAGCGGCGGACGGGUGAGUAACACGUGGGCAACCUGCCCCUAACUUUGGGAUAACUACUCGAAAGAGUAGCUAAUACCGGAUACGAAGUCUGUAGGCAUCUACGGAUUUGGAAAGUUUUUCGGUUAGGGAUGGGCCCGGGGCCUAUCAGCUUGUUGGUGGGGUAGUGGCUCACCAAGGCGACGACGGGUAGCCGGCCUGAGAGGGCGACCGGCCACACUGGGACUGAGACACGGCCCAGACUCCUACGGGAGGCAGCAGUGGGGAAUAUUGCGCAAUGGGCGAAAGCCUGACGCAGCAACGCCGCGUGCGGGAUGAAGGCCUUCGGGUUGUAAACCGCUUUCAGCAGGGAAGAAGCGAAAGUGACGGUACCUGCAGAAGAAGCACCGGCUAACUACGUGCCAGCCGCCGCGGUAA
rnacentral:rRNA from 1 species